UARAACGAAAAUCCGUUGGUUUCACGGAACCGUGAGGGUUCGAAUCCCUCUAUCCCCAGC
rnacentral:tRNA from 1 species